rnacentral:tRNA from 1 species
GGUAGAGUAGAGCAAUUGGUGAGCUCGUUGGGCUCAUGUCCCAAAGGUUGUAGGUUCAAAUCCUACCUCUGCCA